UACGAAGGGGGCUAGCGUUGCUCGGAAUCACUGGGCGUAAAGCGCGCGUAGGCGGAUUGUUAAGUCAGGGGUGAAAUCCCGGGGCUCAACCCCGGAACUGCCCUUGAAACUGCAGUGCUAGAAUCUUGGAGAGGCGAGUGGAAUUCCGAGUGUAGAGGUGAAAUUCGUAGAUAUUCGGAAGAACACCAGUGGCGAAGGCGACUCGCUGGACAAGUAUUGACGCUGAGGUGCGAAAGCGUGGGGAGCAAACAGG
rnacentral:rRNA from 1 species